rnacentral:rRNA from 1 species
CUACCUGCAGCUCGAGUGGUGAUCACUAUUAUUGGGCCUAAAACGUCCGUAGCCGGUCUAGUAAAUGCCUGGGUAAAUCGUGCCGCUUAACGGUACGAAUUCCGGGUAGACUGCUAAACUUGAGACCGGGAGAGGCUAGAGGUACUCCUGGGGUAGAGGUGAAAUUCUGUAAUCCUAGGGGUACCACCAGUGGUGAAAACGUCUAGCUAGAACGGGUCUGACGGUGAGGGACGAAGCCCUGGGGCGCAAACCGGAUUAGAUACCCGGGUAGGCCAGGGUGUAAACGCUGCUUGCUUGAUGUUAGUCGGGCUCCGAGCCCGAUUAGUGUCGGAGUGAAGAUGUUAAGCAAGCUGCCUGGGAAGUACGGUCGCAAGAUUGAA